CUGAGGGGCUUCGGCCCCGUCAAGAUACCACCCUUGCAUUUUGAGCACCUUUGUUUCCUCGGCGGGCUCGCCCGCCAAUGGGGACCACACCAAACCCUCUGUAGUUGCAGUAAACGUCUACAAACAAAUAAUCA
rnacentral:misc_RNA from 1 species